GGUUAUGGAUCAGUGGUAGAGUGCUCGCCUAGCAUGCGCAAAGCCCUGGGUUCAAUCCUCAGCACCA
rnacentral:tRNA from 1 species